AAUGAACGCUGGCGGCAGGCCUAACACAUGCAAGUCGAACGGAUCCUUCGGGAUUAGUGGCGGACGGGUGAGUAACGCGUGGGAACAUACCCUUUGGUACGGAAUAGCCUCGGGAAACUGGGAGUAAUACCGUAUGUGGUCGAGAGACGAAAGAUUUAUUGCCAAAGGAUUGGCCCGCGUUGGAUUAGGUAGUUGGUGGGGUAAUGGUCUACCAAGCCGACGAUUCAUAGCUGGUUUGAGAGGAUGAUCAGCCACACUGGGACUGAGACACGGCCCAGACUCCUACGGGAGGCAGCAGUGGGGAAUCUUAGACAAUGGGGGAAACCCUGAUCUAGCCAUGCCGCGUGAUCGAUGAAGGCCUUAGGGUUGUAAAGAUCUUUCAGGUGGGAAGAUAAUGACUGUACCACCAGAAGAAGCCCCGGCUAACUCCGUGCCAGCAGCCGCAGUAA
rnacentral:rRNA from 1 species